GUGGUAUUUAAAGGGACACAUUUCUUACAUUAUUUGUACCGUUUCAAGUUAUAGUUUGUAUUUCAUUGAGUAUAAAGAACUUACACUUACACGACAGACGGGACAGUGAAAUCCACCAAAGAGGAAUAUUAAUUAUUCGGAAUCAGUUGUGGAAUAUGUAUGCUGUUUGAUUUGAGAUCUGUUCAUUUGGAUAGUAGCGAUGUGUUGCGGGUGUAUGUGUGCAUUUUAUGUAGAUUUAUUAUGUUCAUUCAUGCUUAGUAAUUAUGACAGAUUUGUACAUUAUUUAGGAACAAAACAUCAAAAUCAAAAGGAAACAAAAACAUUAACUAAAAAAGUAAGGAUCUUACUACUUCGGCUAGGAAUUGGAUAUUUGAUCAACAUAGCAUUAUUUCUAAUUGUUUGUUUUGUCAACAGAAAAACUAAGGACGAAGGAGAAGGCGGGUUCCUGCUAUUUUGUUCAAUCGUAAUUUUCGCAGUAUGCUUUUAUGCGUUUAUAACUUUUUCUCUAGUAUACAGACUUUCACGGUUUUCAAGUAAUGUGGACGAUCCUAAAGCCGAAUAUAAAGUCUUAAAAUAUCAAAAGUUUAUGAUGGUAUACAAAUGUUUGGAUGUCAUUUUCGACACAGCGGUGUUGCUUUAUAGUUUUAUUUUAGCAGAUUGGGAUUUAACAAAAUUUACUAUUGCGGCUACUGCGGUUUUAUGUACCGAUAUAGUGCUGAAUUUAAUUGUGCUGAUGAAAAACUGUUGUUCCGACGAGGAAAAAAGCAAUCAAUAUGGUUCAAGUGAAAAUAAUCAAGCUUUGAAGCUGGUGAAAUACAAGAAGUAAGAAUUAAAUAACAAACAUAUACAUUGUAUAUUAUUACCUGGAAAACUUAAUAUUGAUGAAGAUAUUUUAAAAUCCUUCUGAAAUGUAUUAAAGAUAGCGUUCUGCAGCU
rnacentral:lncRNA from 1 species